rnacentral:rRNA from 1 species
CCUACGGGUGGCAGCAGUGAGGAAUAUUGGUCAAUGGACGAGAGUCUGAACCAGCCAAGUAGCGUGAAGGAUGACUGCCCUAUGGGUUGUAAACUUCUUUUAUAUGGGAAUAAAAUGUUCCACGUGUGGGAUUUUGUAUGUACCAUAUGAAUAAGGAUCGGCUAACUCCGUGCCAGCAGCCGCGGUAAUACGGAGGAUCCGAGCGUUAUCCGGAUUUAUUGGGUUUAAAGGGAGCGUAGGUGGAUUGUUAAGUCAGUUGUGAAAGUUUGCGGCUCAACCGUAAAAUUGCAGUUGAAACUGGCAGUCUUGAGUACAGUAGAGGUGGGCGGGAUUCGUGGUGUAGCGGUGAAAUGCUUAGAUAUCACGAAGAACUCCGAUUGCGAAGGCAGUUCACUGGACUGCAACUGACACUGAGGCUCGAAAGUGUGGGUAUCAAACAGGAUUAGAUACCCUAGUAGUC